GACGAACGCUGGCGGCGUGCUUAACACAUGCAAGUCGAACGGAAAGGCCCUGCUUUUGUGGGGUGCUCGAGUGGCGAACGGGUGAGUAACACGUGAGUAACCUGCCCUUGACUUUGGGAUAACUUCAGGAAACUGGGGCUAAUACCGGAUAGGAGCUCCUGCUGCAUGGUGGGGGUUGGAAAGUUUCGGCGGUUGGGGAUGGACUCGCGGCUUAUCAGCUUGUUUGUGGGGUAGUGGCUUACCAAGGCUUUGACGGGUAGCCGGCCUGAGAGGGUGACCGGCCACAUUGGGACUGAGAUACGGCCCAGACGCCUACGGGAGGCAGCAGUGGGGAAUAUUGCACAAUGGGCGGAAGCCUGAUGCAGCAACGCCGCGUGCGGGAUGACGGCCUUCGGGUUGUAAACCGCUUUCGCCUGUGACGAAGCGUGAGUGACGGUAAUGGGUAAAGAAGCACCGGCUAACUACGUG
rnacentral:rRNA from 1 species